GCGGAGAUCUGAAACGAAACCGUCCCCAUGGAGACAGUUAUGGGAUGGACCUCGCUGCAGCAAACAGAAAGGGGCGGGACGGACCACUAGAAGUCUGUCUUCAGAUGUCAUCUGGACCAUGGACAGAAUUUGUUGGCAAUGAUGUUAAGGGAUUGCCUAAACAAGGACUGUCCAACAACUGUGUAAUGUUUGUAGUGAUGUAUGCACUACUUUGUGAUGGGAGCAUCAUUUGAUUUCAGCGAGAAUGAUAUGAUGACAAUACGAAGAUGGUGGUCUCUCACUCUCUGGAGAAACUUCCCUGUGAAUCAUGAUCAAAAAGCUUCUACUUCCUGGUUCUGUUGCUCUGAAGGAAAAAACUACAAGCCAAGUGGACUGUGACGUCAUCAGUUACGCAACAUCCGUCACAUUUACUUUCGGUUUGAAUUUCUCUGUUCAUGUGCGGCUUCAGACCGUUAGUUGGGUCUCAGUCUGUUGUUUAAAUUUUCUUCUUUAACUCUUUGGAUCGUUUGAACAAACUGUGAAGGUAGAAAGUGUAUGUGAGCUGAUGUGAAUUCAGCAGCAUGGAUCAGUG